rnacentral:tRNA from 1 species
GAGGGUGUAGCUCAGUGGUAGAGCACAUGCUUGGCAUGUAUGAGGUCCUGGGUUCAAUCCCCAGUACCUCCA